UACGAGGGGGGCAAGCGUUGUUCGGAAUUAUUGGGCGUAAAGGGCGCGUAGGCGGUUUGACAAGUCUGAUGUGAAAUCUAUGGGCUCAACCCACAGCCUGCAUUAGAAACUGUCGGGCUUGAGUAUGGGAGAGGUGAGUGGAAUUUCCGGUGUAGCGGUGAAAUGCGUAGAUAUCGGAAGGAACACCUGUGGCGAAAGCGGCUCACUGGACCAUAACUGACGCUGAGGCGCGAAAGCUAGGGGAGCAAACAGG
rnacentral:rRNA from 1 species